UGUAGCUCAGUGGUAAAGCACUUGCCCUGCAUGCAUGAGGCACUGAGUUCGAUCCUCAGCA
rnacentral:tRNA from 1 species